rnacentral:rRNA from 1 species
GAUGAACGCUGGCGGCGUGCUUAACACAUGCAAGUCGAACGGAAAGGCCCAAGCUUGCUUGGGUCCUCGAGUGGCGAACGGGUGAGUAACACGUGGGUGAUCUGCCCUGCACUUCGGGAUAAGCCUGGGAAACUGGGUCUAAUACCGGAUAGGACCACUUCUUGGAUGUUGUGGUGGAAAGUUUUUUCGGUGUGGGAUGAGCUCGCGGCCUAUCAGCUUGUUGGUGGGGUAAUGGCCUACCAAGGCGUCGACGGGUAGCCGGCCUGAGAGGGUGUACGGCCACAUUGGGACUGAGAAACGGCCCAGACUCCUACGGGAGGCAGCAGGGGGGAAGAUUGCACAAUGGGCGCAAGGCUGAUGCAGCGACGCCGCGUGGGGGAUGACGGCCUUCGGGUUGUAAAAUCCUUUCGCUAGGGACGAAGCGUUUUGUGACGGUACCUGGAGAAGAAGCACCGGCUAACUACGUG